rnacentral:rRNA from 1 species
UACGAAGGGGGCGAGCGUUGUUCGGAAUUACUGGGCGUAAAGGGCGCGCAGGCGGCCUUAGAAGUCAGAUGUGAAAGCCCCGGGCUCAACCUGGGAAUGGCAUUUGAUACUCUGAGGCUGGAGUACGGGAGAGGAGAGUGGAAUUCCCAGUGUAGAGGUGAAAUUCGUAGAUAUUCGGCGGAACACCAGUGGCGAAGGCGACUCACUGGCCCGAUACUGACGCUGAGGCGCGAAAGCGUGGGGAGCAAACAGG